rnacentral:lncRNA from 1 species
ACUUAUAUAAAUGUAUAUAUAAAUAGAUUAUUAAUUUAUGAUUUUAACGGAACCAUAUAUUUACAUAUGACUUUCUAAAAAAAUAUUUUCUUAUUAUGUUCUCGAUUUGUCUCAUAUUUUGAAUCGGCUCAACUCGGGACCGGAGAAAUUUAUUAAUUUAUAGUGUGUAUUAAUUUAUUGAUUAUUAAUUUACAGAGUUUCUACUGUAGUUGAUAAUCGGGUUGACUUCUUGAAACCCCACAAACUAAUAAAAACCACACUCAAUCCACCCAUACUUUUAAGCCCUUCCUAAACCCUCUACUAAACUCAUCAAUUACCCACCUUAACUC